rnacentral:rRNA from 1 species
GAUGAACGCUGGCGGCGUGCCUAAUACAUGCAAGUAGAACGCUGAAGCUUGGUGCUUGCACCGAGCGGAUGAGUUGCGAACGGGUGAGUAACGCGUAGGUAACCUGCCUGGUAGCGGGGGAUAACUAUUGGAAACGAUAGCUAAUACCGCAUAACAAUAGAUGUUGCAUGACAACUAUUUAAAAGGGGCAAUUGCUCCACUACCAGAUGGACCUGCGUUGUAUUAGCUAGUUGGUGAGGUAACGGCUCACCAAGGCGACGAUACAUAGCCGACCUGAGAGGGUGAUCGGCCACACUGGGACUGAGACACGGCCCAGACUCCUACGGGAGGCAGCAGUAGGGAAUCUUCGGCAAUGGGGGGAACCCUGACCGAGCAACGCCGCGUGAGUGAAGAAGGUUUUCGGAUCGUAAAGCUCUGUUGUAAGAGAAGAACGAGUGUGAGAGUGGAAAGUUCACACUGUGACGGUAUCUACCAG